rnacentral:rRNA from 1 species
CCUACGGGGGGCAGCAGUGAGGAAUAUUGGUCAAUGGGCGGGAGCCUGAACCAGCCAAGUCGCGUGAGGGAAGACGGUCCUACGGAUUGUAAACCUCUUUUGCCGGGGAGCAACGGGGUCCUUGCGAGGGCCCAAUGAGAGUACCCGGAGAAAAAGCAUCGGCUAACUCCGUGCCAGCAGGCGCGGUAAUACGGAGGAUGCGAGCGUUAUCCGGAUUUAUUGGGUUUAAAGGGUGCGUAGGCGGGCUGUUAAGUCAGCGGUCAAAUGUCGGGGCUCAACCCCGGCCUGCCGGUGAAACCGGCGGCAUCGAGUUGGCGAGAAGUAUGGGGGAAGCGUGGUGUAGGGGUGAAAUGCAAUGAUAUCACGCAGAAAUCCGAUUGCGAAGGCAGCAUAACGGCGCCCUACUGACGCUGAGGCACGAAAGCGUGGGUAUCGAACAGGAUUAGAUACCCGGGUAGUC